GCAGUAUGGCGGUCUGUCGCUCGUGUUUCGCAAGAAUAUCGAGAGGAAAGUCCGGGCAACGCAGAGCAUCACAUUUCUUAACGGGAAGCUGGGGGCGACCUCAGGGUUUAAGGUAACAGAAAACUACCGCCGCCCGCCUUUGUGCAGGCGGUAAGGGUGAAAAGGCGAGGCAAGAGCUCACCGGGUGCCAUGGCGACAUGGCAUGCCGUACCACCUGUGAGUUGCAAGGUCAAGUAUAUCGGCAUUUAAGGGUUGCUCGCCCAUUGCCGAGGGGUAGACUGCUAUAUCGGCAUGGCAACAUGCCGGACAGAUAAAUGACAGACGGCGGCCGCAUUCUUUUUUUGUGUGCCGCUACAUAACCCGGCUUAUAGCCAUACUGCUCGA
rnacentral:RNase_P_RNA from 1 species